CCUGGAGGACGCCAGCCCCCCAAGCCUCAGGCCAGCCAUGGCACCCAGGGCCACAGUGAUGGGAGAACUGGAGCCAGCACGGACAUUCGGAAAUAACAAACAACAACAAAGAAAAUAAUGCACAACACAGGAGCAAAAAAACUUCAAGAAGACCCAACAAUCAACUCUUCCACCAAACUCCAACAGUCCUUGAAAAGGCAAAAGAUAAAAACGGGAAGAUGGAACAAACACAUCAAAUACAAGUUAUAGAAGCAGUCUUCUCUUAUUUAUUGAUAAGGAAGCACCAAAGUAUACUUGUAAAGGAAAAAAAAAAAAAAAAUCACAUUAAUUUUAUUUCUCAACAUUGCAAAAUAUAAAAAGGCUGCUUAGAAACAUCCUGGCUUUAUAUCUGAACACACUCUCCUACACAGAGUUCAAAAUCAUGUAUCUUAAUAAAACUAAAAUGCACACA